rnacentral:rRNA from 1 species
AGUGAACGCUGGCGGUAGGCCUAACACAUGCAAGUCGAACGGCAGCACAGUAAGAGCUUGCUCUUACGGGUGGCGAGUGGCGGACGGGUGAGGAAUACAUCGGAAUCUACUUUUUCGUGGGAGAUAACGUAGGGAAACUUACGCUAAUACCGCAUACGACCUACGGGUGAAAGCAGGGGAUCUUCGGACCUUGCGCGAUUGAAUGAGCCGAUGUCGGAUUAGCUAGUUGGCGGGGUAAAGGCCCACCAAGGCGACGAUCCGUAGCUGGUCUGAGAGGAUGAUCAGCCACACUGGAACUGAGACACGGUCCAGACUCCUACGGGAGGCAGCAGUGGGGAAUAUUGGACAAUGGGCGCAAGCCUGAUCCAGCCACACCGCGUGGGUGAAGAAGGCCUUCGGGUUGUAAAGCCCUUUUGUUGGGAAAGAAAAGCAGCAGGUUAAUACCCCGCUGUUCUGACGGUACCCAAAGAAUAAGCACCGGCUAACUUCGUG